rnacentral:rRNA from 1 species
GAUGAACGCUGGCGGCGUGCCUAAUACAUGCAAGUAGAACGCUGAAGCUUGGUGCUUGCACCGAGCGGAUGAGUUGCGAACGGGUGAGUAACGCGUAGGUAACCUGCCUCUUAGCGGGGGAUAACUAUUGGAAACGAUAGCUAAUACCGCAUAAAAGUCGAUAUCGCAUGAUAUUGAUUUGAAAGGUGCAAAUGCAUCACUAAGAGAUGGACCUGCGUUGUAUUAGCUAGUUGGUGAGGUAACGGCUCACCAAGGCGACGAUACAUAGCCGACCUGAGAGGGUGAUCGGCCACACUGGGACUGAGACACGGCCCAGACUCCUACGGGAGGCAGCAGUAGGGAAUCUUCGGCAAUGGGGGCAACCCUGACCGAGCAACGCCGCGUGAGUGAAGAAGGUUUUCGGAUCGUAAAGCUCUGUUGUAAGAGAAGAACGAGUGUGAGAGUGGAAAGUUCACACUGUGACGGUAACUUACCAGAAAGGGACGGCUAACUACUUG